rnacentral:rRNA from 1 species
UACGUAGGGGCUAGCGUUAUCCGGAAUUACUGGGCGUAAAGGGUGCGUAGGUGGUUUCUUAAGUCAGAGGUGAAAGGCUACGGCUCAACCGUAGUAAGCCUUUGAAACUGGGAAACUUGAGUGCAGGAGAGGAGAGUGGAAUUCCUAGUGUAGCGGUGAAAUGCGUAGAUAUUAGGAGGAACACCAGUUGCGAAGGCGGCUCUCUGGACUGUAACUGACACGGAGGCACGAAAGCGUGGGGAGCAAACAGGAUUAGAUACCCUGGUAGUCCCUGAGCGGG